ACCAUUUUUUUCCUAAACCUAAUUUCUUUCCAAACCGCAUCAACCCCUUUCUUCUUCUUUCUAUCAGCCGCCAAAACUCAACAACCACCAAAACUCUCACGCCUCCUCAUUCGAUCGACUCAACCCUCGUCUCUCAUUCUCUCACAUCUCCAUUUCUGAACGGUGGUUAGACUCAUUCAACCAUCUUCUUCAUUCAAUCUCACAACCAUGAAUACAAGCCAGCUUUGUCGUCUUCUUCUCGUCUUCGUAACUUCCGGCGCCGCUAGAUAACCACCACCAUCAUCGCCUUCGCUUGAAUCAAAGGUCUCGGAACACCAAUCACAUCCGAAGUACAUCAUUCCUCCAUUUCAACCGCGAUUUUGACUCUUAACACAAAACCCUAGGUUCUUUACGGACAGAAUUGAACAUUCACCGUCACAAAUUGAGCUCAAUUCCUUGGGGGUUCGAUUCACCAUAGCAUAAGCUUCGUGUUGGUGACAAGAACUAAGCAAAGCGGUGAAGUAAAGAAUGAGUUCGGCAGUUACCUAUCAGAGAUUAACAAAUGCAAUUUCGACAACGACGAAGAGAAAAAGAAAACCAGAUGCUCCGCCUUUCAGGGUAAACCAAGAAAUAACACACAGAGAUGAUGUAACUUUUUGGCUGAUACUUUGUCAAUAGGUUUAUGAAUACUAGAACAUAGAUGUGAGCUCAUCCCAAUUGAUGCCAAUUUAUCAUUUCCUUAGUCCUGAACCGUGUUGUCAAUGCAGGUUUCAUAGGAGAUGACAAGGAGACUUUUGAGACAUUUGAAUCUAUGGAGUUUAGACUACUCUUUUUCUAGAGGAACUGCUCAUUUACAUGCAAAGAUCUUGACUAUCAACAAACUCUAAGGGAACUCUAGUUAUCAUGGAAGACACACGGCAGUAACCAUUCCUCGGCCUAUAAAUCUCCAACCGAUUUCUGUGCCUUCGAUUACAGUAAAUGAAUUGAAGUCUGUGACAGAUAGUUUUGGUACGAAGUCUUUCCUUGGUGAAGGUGCGUACGGGAAAGUAUAUCGCGCCAUGUUGAAAAUGGGACGUGAAACUGAACUCUGUUUGGUACGAAGUCUUUCAUGUUUCUUUUCUUUGGUUAUUCUUAAUAAUAUGUUUGUUGUGAUGACUGGUCAGUAUAGAAACUGAACUCUCUUUGUAUUAUAUGUCUUGCGUUCUCCUCGCACCUUUGUCCCUAACCAACCUUUGAAAAGUAAAUUAAUAUCUACAGUCUGCUCAGAUUAUAGUUGAUUGCUAGAAAGUCUUGUUAAGUUUUUAACUGACUGGUAGUUAUCUUACAAUCGAAAUCAUUUGGAUUUGCGGGUACAAAGGAUAAGUGUGCUGUUACGACCCAAAUGGUAAUCAAUUUUCUUAUUUUUCUAAUUUUGCAGUAUACAUUCAUUCCUUUCUUCAUUUUCUAUUGCGAUUGUUCAUUUAGAGACGGAUGCUUCAGUUGGUUUAUUUCUCAUAUUUGCAGAUUUUGUGGAUACCAUAAAAGAUGCUGCAAAUUCUUUAGGACGUCAUGGCUUUAUUGACAAUUUUUAUUUUUAACAGGCUUGUGGAUUGAAAUGGGCAUGUGAUGAUAGGGAACUUGCUUCUGGUGGUAAUGAUAAUCAGGUGUACUAACACAUAAUUGUGUCAUUCUAUGCUUUAUGUAUUCUUCUAGAGCUUUUUAAAUCACCUCUUGUUUAAUGUCAUGUUAAUUAUUAUAUGAGCAGUUGUUGGUAUGGAAUCAACACUCUCGGUUAGAAUCCAAAUUGAAACAAUGUCACCAAACUCAGUUAGAAGGAAUAUUAGCCAUAAAGAGACCUCAUUCUGAGUCAUUCUUAAGUGCUGAAGAAUUCAGGAAUGAUUAGCAUCAAAAACUAUAUUUAACUCUUUAAUCUAUUGUAGUUAAUAGUUUUUCUUUGUUCUUGGCAGAAGUUAGGCUUCUUUCAGCUGCAAAACACAAGAACCUUGUUGGUCUGGUUGGAUAUUGUGAACAACCAGAAAGAGAUGGAGCAAAAAUACUAGUCUAUGAAGGCCUUAAGGUACUUGUUUCAAAUUAGGAGAGUAGAAUUAUCAUUUGUGUUUUUUUACUUCAAAUGUCAAAAGUGAAAUAAAUUGAACAGUGGAGUCUAACUAAAAGAACAACAUAUAUUUCAUUUUUGAAUAAUGACACCUCCCGAAGUUGAACCAGAUGCCCCUUACAAAUUUGGGAUCAUUGAUACAUAGUCAGUUUUCCCAAAUAUGCUCUUCUACUUGAACAUAAUAUUUUGCAUCCUUAAUUGCAAAUUUUGUUUCUACAUAAACUAUUAUCUGUCACUAUUUUAUUUUGUUGUAAUUUCUCAUGAUUUCUACAUAAACUAUUAUCUAUCACUAUUCUAUGAGCUGGCUUCAAAAUGCUGCUUUCAACGUGCCAUUUGUAAUACUAAAUGGACAAACUCACAUAAUCUUCCAUCAGUUGUAGGAUGUCUGUUUGCAUCAUCUGAUGCAAAAGAGGAAGCUACCAAGUUGGGGACUGUUAUUGGGAUAGAUCUUGGAUUAAGGUGGUUUGUUACUAUGUUGUAUUUGUUCAAUUUUACAUUGUACUUCAAUGUUGUAAAUUUGUAAUUUGGAUUAAGGUGGUUUGGAUUAAUAGUGUCAUCAAUUAUUUUUUUA